CGAGCGAGGCACUUGCUUAGAUUCUUCGGAUGAAGAGGAUUGUGACUGAGCGGCGGACGGGUGAGUAACGCGUGGGUAACCUGCCUCAUACAGGGGGAUAACAGUUAGAAAUGACUGCUAAUACCGCAUAAGACCACAGCGCCGCAUGGUGCGGGGGUAAAAACUCCGGUGGUAUGAGAUGGACCCGCGUCUGAUUAGCUGGUUGGUAAGGUAACGGCUUACCAAGGCGACGAUCAGUAGCCGACCUGAGAGGGUGACCGGCCACAUUGGGACUGAGACACGGCCCAAACUCCUACGGGAGGCAGCAGUGGGGAAUAUUGCACAAUGGGGGAAACCCUGAUGCAGCGACGCCGCGUGAGCGAAGAAGUAUUUCGGUAUGUAAAGCUCUAUCAGCAGGGAAGAAAAUGACGGUACCUGACUAAGAAGCACCGGCUAAAUACGUGCCAGCAGCCGCGGUAAUACGUAUGGUGCAAGCGUUAUCCGGAUUUACUGGGUGUAAAGGGAGCGUAGACGGAUGGGCAAGUCUGAUGUGAAAACCCGGGGCUCAACCCCGGGACUGCAUUGGAAACUGUUCAUCUAGAGUGCUGGAGAGGUAAGUGGAAUUCCUAGUGUAGCGGUGAAAUGCGUAGAUAUUAGGAGGAACA
rnacentral:rRNA from 1 species